rnacentral:rRNA from 1 species
UACAGAGGGUGCAAGCGUUGUUCGGAAUCAUUGGGCGUAAAGGGCGUGUAGGCGGUUUGCUAAGUCAUGUGUGAAAGCCCUCGGCUUAACCGAGGAACGACGCAUGAAACUGGCAGCUAGAGUACCAAAGAGGGGGGUGGAAUUCCCGGUGUAGCGGUGGAAAUGCGUAGAUAUCGGGAGGAACACCGGUGGCGAAGGCGGCCCCCUGGUUGGAGUACU